rnacentral:rRNA from 1 species
AUUGAACGCUGGCGGCAGGCCUAACACAUGCAAGUCGAGCGAGCGGCGGACGGGUGAGUAAUGUAUGGGGACUGCCCGAUAGAGGGGGAUAACUACUGGAAACGGUAGCUAAUACCGCAUACUAUCGGAUAACCCAUAGGGGAUUAGCUAGUAGGUGAGGUAAUGGCUCACCUAGGCGACGAUCCCUAGCUGGUCUGAGAGGAUGAUCAGCCAGACAGGGACUGAGACACGGCCCAGAGUCCGACGGAGGCAGCAGUGUGGAGUAUUGGACAGUGUGCGCAAGCCUGAUGCAGCCGUGCCGCGUGUAUGAAGAAGGCCCUAGGGUUGUAAAGUACUUUCAGUCGGGAGGCGUUACCAACAGAAGAGUCACCGGCUAACUCCGUGUCAGCAGCCGCGGUAAUAC